rnacentral:rRNA from 1 species
UGAGGAAUAUUGGGCAAUGCCCGCAAGGGUGACCCAGCAACGCCGCGUGGAGGAUGAAUGUCGUAAGAUUGUAAACUCCUGUUAUAGGGGAAGAAUAGUACCGGUUGGACCGGUAUAUGACUGUACCCUCAGAGAAAGCCCCGGCUAACUACGUGCCAGCAGCCGCGGUAAUACGUAGGGGGCAAGCGUUGUCCGGAUUUACUGGGUGUAAAGGGCGCGCAGGCGGGAUAAAAAGCCAGUGGUGAAAUCCUACAGCUUAACUGUAGAACUGCCUCUGAUACUUUUAUUCGUGGGUUCGGGAGAGAGAGACGGAAUUCCAGGUGACGUGGUGAAAUACGUAGAUAUCUGAAAGAACAACAGUUGCGAAGGCGGUCUCUUGGUCCGACACUGACGCUG